AUUAACCAAACCGUAUAAACUAAACUAAAAACAUGAUUUGGUUAUUAGACUAUAUAAAGACAUUGUGAAACAAUAUAUUAUAUAGGGUUAUGGUUUUAUGUCAAUUACAAGUAGGUAAGCUAUCUUUCUAACUCUAAAUAAACACAACAAAGCCUUGCAAAAAAAAAAAAAGUUGAUUCAUUAAUUCUUAACAACUGAAAUCUUGGAUACUAACUAAUAACACAACUUUGUCCUAUUAAUUUGUGGGACAAACAACAGAAUUCAAAUUGGCUAAUGAGGACAAGAUUUUAAAACCCUACCAAUUUUUAAAAGAAUGUGAGUAUCAUUAAUUUAUAUAUCGAGUUGAUAUGAUGGGCUAAGCUUAGAGGAAUAAUUUUAUAUAGUAGUAUACAUUGACAUAAAAGCAAAUUCCAUUAAGAGAAAAAAGGAAAAAGAGUGAAGAAAAAAGAAAGAAAGAAGGAUUCUUGCUUCGAAGGCCCGUAGUUGAAGCCGUUGGCAGAGAUAGAGAGAGAGAGAGGCUACACUGCUC
rnacentral:lncRNA from 1 species